UACGUAGGGCGCAAGCGUUGCCCGGAAUUAUUGGGCGUAAAGAGCUCGUAGGCGGUUUGUCGCGUCUGCUGUGAAAACCUAAGGCUCAACCCUGGGCUUGCAGUGGGUACGGGCAGACUAGAGUGCGGUAGGGGUGACUGGAAUUCCUGGUGUAGCGGUGGAAUGCGCAGAUAUCAGGAGGAACACCGAUGGCGAAGGCAGGUCACUGGGCCGCAACUGACGCUGAGGAGCGAAAGCAUGGGGAGCGAACAGG
rnacentral:rRNA from 1 species